ACGGAGGGUCCGAGCGUUAUCCGGAUUUAUUGGGUUUAAAGGGUGCGUAGGCGGUUUGAUAAGUCAGCGGUGAAAGUUUGCAGCUUAACCGUAAAAAUGCAGUUGAAACUGUCGGACUUGAGUGUAAAUGAGGUAGGCGGAAUUCCUGGUGUAGCGGUGAAAUGCAUAGAUAUCACGAAGAACUCCGAUUGCGAAGGCAGCCUACUAGGCUGCAACUGACGCUGAAGUGCGAAAGCGUGGGGAUCAAACAG
rnacentral:rRNA from 1 species